UAUUUAGAGACCUGACUUGACACAAAAGGAAAUGUUGUUGCGUCUUUCCCUUCUGGUGCUAUGUAUCGGGGGAGUUAUAGCGAAACCUCACAGAUCAGUCGGAAUGAAAAACCUUAUACUUCCCUCUGGGGAGAAGGAUAAACCGAACAUGUUGUUCACGAAAGAACCCCGUCCCUCAACAAUGACAACACUCGGUAGUUCAGUGACUCUCUCCUGUGCUGGAACUAGUAGUUUACCAACUGGGGAGCCAAGUGUUUCCUGGCUCUUUACUCCUAAAAUAACUCCCGACAUCAAAUUGUGGGAGGGACUAGUAGGAGGGACCAGUGGGACACUGAUUCUUGGUAACUUGCAGAAGAGCGAGGGAGGAUAUUACUUCUGUCAGAUAACUGACGGUUACGGUUACAGCUUGAUCAGCCGCGGAGCUCUUGUUAUUGUCACUUAUUUGGAUCCUGAUUUUGGUGCGUAUCCAGAAGAAAAGACCAUCACAGAAUCAAAAGCUUACAUCAAGGUUCCGUGUCAGCCGCCAGCAAGUAAUCCGCCUGCAAAGAUAAAUUGGUAUAAAGACGGAAAACUUAUUGAGAAAGUUGAGAAUAUGAUACAAGAGUACGUGAGUCCCAACAAGUACGGUUCCCUGAUAAUCUUCAACCCGAGAACUAGUGACAGUGGUAUGUACGCUUGUGAGGCCAGCAACAUUAACGCUAACCCUGAAAAGAGGAAAACUAGCGAAGUUCUCAUCGAUAUUAAAGUUGAAGGCUCGGGAACGUACGCUCAGAAGUUUGUACAGGAUCACGAUGUACUCGUUAACAAAGGAGAAGACGCGGUACUCCACGCCGGAGCUAUUGGUUUCCCAGUGCCUAGCUACCGCUGGACUCUCGGCGUGUCUGUAGAAAUAGAUGUCAAUCCUGGUAGCCGCUUUUCUACUGCUGACUUCGGGAGAGAUCUUAGAAUAUCGGGUGUUCGCACUGAGGACCGGGGCACGUACUGGUGUCAGUACAAGAACGUGUACACGGACAGUGUCGCUGUAGUCAGACUCUACGUCAAGGAGGACAUUUCGUUCAACACAGUGUUGACAGAGCAGACAGUGGAGCACCUUACUCCGCUGACAUUCGACUGUCAGUGUUCAGGGACCCCCUACACCAGCGGGGACCCUACUGCCCCUCCUUCUGUACUCUGGCUCAGAGACGGGCAACCUAUUGUAGAUGGCAAGAGGUUCAAGGAGGAGGACGGUAGUCUGGUUAUGUCCGGACUGGAAAUGUCGGAGGCUGGGAUGUACCAGUGUUUCUGCUACAACACCAUGCAGAUAUCACAAACUUACAUGCCUGUUUCUGUUAAAAAUAUGACGAUCCCAGUAAGUAUUGACGGUAACGACAGAGCAGAGGGAGUGUACAACGAGAAUAUUCAGAUAUUGUGUCGGGCUAACGGAUACCCGCUUCCUGUGGUCACGUGGUACAAAGAUAACGAGGAGAUCACUGCUGUAUUUGAUCCUAGGUACUCGAUAACGCAAGAGAACUUCAAAGAUCACGUUCUCUCUAAUCUGAGAGUGCUGUCUGUAAAGGAUGCUGAUGCUGGAAUAUUAACUUGUAGAGCAGUUAACCAGAAAGUUUCUACUUUUGCUGCUGAACUUAAGAUUGAUUUUCUUGUUGGUCACGAGAUAUCUCCCAGCAUCUCCCUCUCUGAUAUUAGUAUCCAGGUGGACUCGUCCAUCGUGUUUGAAGCGGUUGCCUAUGGUUACCCAACACCAGCUGUCACGUGGUACAAGGGAGCAGACAGAGUUCCUCUAUUAACUGGAGGGAGGUACACUGUAGCUGAGUCCUCUCUCCUCAUAGACGGGGCUCAGAGCUCCGACACUGGUCUAUACGUGGUAAAGGCUAACAACGGGGUCGGGGCACCCGCCUACGCCAACGCUACCAUAUCUCUAGGUGUGAACAACGCCAUGAUAUACGGUUCAGCGAGCGGGGGAGUCGCUCUGAUCCUGAUAAUAGCUAUUUUGGUUCUCCUGUACGUUCUAAUAAAGCAGAAAGAGAAGAAAAACUACGUCCCUCCCAAGGCCGCCCCAACGCCAACCGAGAAGGAAAUCGAACGAAGAAUCCGUAUGGCCAGCGAAACACCGCCUAUUGGUUUCAACCCUAAACCAGAUCUAGACGACAAAACCAAGAACUCCCUUUACUUGAGAGACAAUCCCGCUCUGUUCGAUGUGAACGUUACUUCAAAGAACUUGCCCCCACUACUCAGAGCUCCUAUGGGUAAAUCAUCUUAACAAGUAGUUACCUGGUUACCUGGUUACCUGGUUACCUGGUUACCUGGUUACCUGGUUACCUGGUUACCUGGUUACCUGGUUACCUGGUUACCUGGUCAACUACAACAAGUAGUUACCUGCUUUUAUUUGACGUUGGAGAAUUUUCAGAGACAGUCGGCCAAGUAGCGCGAAAAGCAAGACAUCAGGCGCAGAUAAGAAACCUAAGACAGUAGAAAAUGAUGUGACUAUGAUCAUUAAUGAUGUCAGUGACGGAGAGUUCGAUAAUGAUAUGCCCAACGGUAACCAUGGUAACAAUGACAUGGUGAUGCAAGGACCGGGGAUGGUAAUGGAGCAACCUGUGCCGGCCACAUUUCUCUCUGAUUUACCAAGUAGGCCCACGGAAAAUAGCGCGGACAUGCCCGGAGUAGUAGUUGAGCAACCUGUUCCCGUCACUUUGUUCCCUAACAUGCCACGUGAACCAGACAGUUCUCCUAGUUCCACCUCCCCUUCAGAAGACGACAGUGACUCCACCAGCUACGGAUCUAGCACCAAAAUAGUGAAGAAGGUGAAAAAGUCGAAAGUGGGGCCGUCCUAAGUGCUUUAAGUGAAGAUAUUCAAUUCAGAUCUUCAGAAUAAAACGACAAAGCGAAGCCGCAGCACAGAUGAAAACGCGUCGUCAACAAUCCAUCUUCAUUGAAUAAACAAAUAAUCAAUUAUAAGGGUAAUUGCGGAUUUGUUUUUAUAAAUAGAAUAAAAUACACUCAUUAUCAACUUGAAAAAUGGAACAUAAUUUGCAAACUGAUUUAUCUCCUGAAUAAUUUGAAAUUAUUCGCAUUAUUUCAAAUAAUUUGCAAGUAAUUUGACCAAACACACCAAAAUUUGUUAAUAAUAAUGAUCAUUUUGUUACAAUAAUAUUAAAAAUAUAUUUUGACUGACAUCAAAAAGGUGAAGGGAAACAUUUUCAGUUUGAAACUAAGUGAUAAUAGUUUUUAUCCUAGAUAUUUACAAUUUUAUAAAAGCUUUUGUUUAUGAUGAUUACUCAAAACUGUAUCGAUUUUUUACAUUGAUCUUGUUUUAUCAUACAA